UAGAAGUCAGGUCGGAUUAAGCCAUAGUACGGAAAAAACUAUGCUACCUGUGAGCCCCGUCCAAGGACGUUAAAAGAAGUCAGGCCAUCAUAAAUGCCAUAGCUUGAGUAAACUGUGCUGCCUGUAGCUCCACCUGAGAAGGUGUAAAAAAUCUGGGAGGCCACAAACCAUGGAAGCUGUACGCAUGGCGUAGUGGACUAGCGGUUAGAGGAGACCCCUCCCUUACAAAUCGCAGCAACAAUGGGGGCCCAAGGCGAGAUGAAGCUGUAAUCUCGCUGGAAGGACUAGAGGUUAGAGGAGACCCCCCCGAAACAAAAAACAGCAUAUGACGC
rnacentral:lncRNA from 1 species